GAUGAACGCUGGCGGCGUGCCUAAUACAUGCAAGUCGAGCGAAUGGAUUAAGAGCUUGCUCUUAUGAAGUUAGCGGCGGACGGGCGAGUAACACGUGGGUAACCUGCCCAUAAGACUAGGAUAACUCCGGGAAACCGGGGAUAAUACCGGAUAACAUUUUGAAGCGCAUGUUUCGAAAUUGAAAGGCGGCUUCGGCUGGCACUUAUGGAUGGACCCGCGUCGCAUUAGCUAGUAGGUGAGGUAACGGCUCACCAAGGCAACGAUGCGUAGCCGACCUGAGAGGGUGAUCGGCCACACUGGGACUGAGACACGGCCCAGACUCCUACGGGAGGCAGCAGUAGGGAAUCUUCCGCAAUGGACGAAAGUCUGACGGAGCAACGCCGCGUGAGUGAUGAAGGCUUUCGGGUCGUAAAACUCUGUUGUUAGGGAAGAGCAAGUGCUAGUUGAAUAAGCUGGCACCUUGACGGUACCUAACCAGAAAGCCACGGCUAACUACGUGCCAGCAGCCGCGGUAA
rnacentral:rRNA from 1 species